ACCACAUCCCAACAGAUCCGAACACGUCCGAUAUCAUCCAAGAGAAUGUGGCAGCUGAAGGGGGAGAGGCCAAGAAAGAGGCCAAGGGUGAAGACAUUUAGCCACCCCCCCUGAAGUACAUGGCAUCAUUCAACCCUCUUGGUGUGAACUUGAUGGGGUUGGAGGAAACUCGACUUGGCCAUCAAGCUCACCACAAUAUAACAUGAAAAGUGAAAAUUGCUGCACACAACAGUCUGUCGUCUGCACCGGGAGGCAAGGCAGCUCAAAGCCCAGGCUGUUACAAAUCCUGGGCAGUUUUUGCCUAGAGCCAGCAAUUUUUUAGAUCCAAUAGGGGUGGAUUUUUUCUGAGGUCAGGUUCAACAUGCUGCAAGAUGCCAAGAUCUAAGCCUAGUAGGAGAUAUGGGUUACAAGAGAGGAGGUUUGCUCUGGCCUUAUACUAUCAAAGUCCAAAUGCUAAUAGAUUUCUGAGCACAGUAUUUCACUUGUCUUCAGUUUCAACACUUCAAUCAUGACUCAGGGGUAUUUCAGUACAUGUUGGCUGGAGCAAACAGACUCUGACAGCCCUGCAGCAAAGAGCACAGGCUUUGUCAAAAGAAGAGAAACUUCGUGGGAUUUGCCAUUAUUUAGUAUUACUCUUGUUACGCCAAGAAUUUUUUUCCAUAUACUUUGCCAAAUAUUGCAAGUAAUGCACCAUUGUUGGGCUUGCUUGUUAUAAAUCAGAUCUUGUUCAAUUAACAAGCUUUGGGUGUCUGCCACUUUCCAGCUGUAAUGCAAGGAAUCAUUUAUCUUCCCUGCUAGAUAUCACACGUAAUGCACCAUUGUUGGUUUUGCCUGUUAUAAAUCAGAUCUUGUUCAGUUAAAAAGCUUUAGGUGUCUGCCACUUUCCAAUUGUAAUGCAAGGAAUCCCCUGCCAGAUAUCGCAUGUAAUGCACCAUUGUUGGUUUUGCCUAUUAUAAAUCAGAUCUUGUUCAGCUCACAAGCUUUGAAUAUCUGCCAUUGUUUAUUUCAGGUGUAAUGCUUGGAAGCAUUUGU